GGGAGGCGCGGGAGGUAAAGUCCGGGCACUACAGGGCAGGGUGAUCGGUAACGCCGACCGGGGGCGACCCCAGGGAAAGUGCCACAGAAACUAGACCGCGACGUCUCCUCCGGGACACGUCGUAAGGGUGAAACGGUGCGGUAAGAGCGCACCGGGCCGGCGGUGACGUCGGCCGUCAUGGUAAACCCCACCUGGUGCAAGGUAAACGAGGACCGGCGAAAGCCAGGGGUGCCCACCCCGAUACCAGGUCCCAGGUCACCGCUCGAGCCGCGGGGCAAUCCGCGGCCUAGAUGAAUGAUGGUCGCCGACGCCCGCGAGGGCAACGGAUACAAAACCCGGCUUAUUCAA
rnacentral:RNase_P_RNA from 1 species